rnacentral:rRNA from 1 species
GAUCAUUGUCGAUGCCUCAAAAAUCAGACCGACCCGCGAACACGUUCCAUACACAACGUCGCGGGGGGGAGCGGCGAUCGUCAGAGCGCCUCCCCCCUCCCCGGCAAACACAAACCCCGGCGCUUCGUGCGCCAAGGAAAUCGAAACUGUUGAGUGCGGCCCCCCGACGCGGCCCGGAGACGGCGUCCCGCGGGGAGUCCCCACGAAGCAUCACAAUACACAAUGACUCUCGGCAACGGAUAUCUCGGCUCUUGCAUCGAUGAAGAACGUAGCGAAAUGCGAUACUUGGUGUGAAUUGCAGAAUCCCGUGAACCAUCGAGUCUUUGAACGCAAGUUGCGCCCGAAGCCAUUAGGCCGAGGGCACGCCUGCCUGGGUGUCACACAUCGUUACCCCCCGCACGACCUCCUCCUCCUCUCCGGAGGCGGGAGCGUUCGGUUCGGGGCGUGCAUGCUGACCUCCCGCGGGCAGCGCCCCGCGGUUGGUUCAAAUCCGAGUCCGUGGCCGGGUGCGCCGUGGUACAAUGGUGGAUGGGCUAACCACGCUCGAGACCGACCACGCGGGCCCCGACCCCAGGACUCUCCGACGACCCUCCGCGUGCCUCCUCUGGCACGCUCCCAACGAGACCUCAGGUC